UUCUCUGAUGAUGAGUUAUUUGAAUGACCUUUUAUCUCCUGAGAAGAAUUUCUGUGCUGAAUCUUUAUUGGAGACCUGAACUGAAGAGAG